rnacentral:tRNA from 2 species
AGUUUAGUUGGUUAGAAUACCAGAUUGUGGCUCUGGUGACCCCUGUUCGAAUCAG